rnacentral:pre_miRNA from 1 species
AUGUCCCUAAGCGUUCCUUCAAGCACUUCACAUGGAGCUUUGAUUUCUUUCAUAUUUGAUUUGAGUAUUUAAUCAAAAGCUUUUGUGAAGUGUUUGGGGGAACUCUUGGUGUCAC